GACGAACGCUGGCGGCGUGCUUAACACAUGCAAGUCGAACGAUGACGACCGAGCUUGCUCGGUCUGAUUAGUGGCGAACGGGUGAGUAACACGUGAGCAACCUGCCCUUCACUCUGGGAUAACCUCGGGAAAUCGGGGCUAAUACCGGAUAUGAGCUCCUGUCGCAUGGCGGGUGUUGGAAAGUUUUUCGGUGAAGGAUGGGCUCGCGGCCUAUCAGUUUGUUGGUGAAGUAGUGGCUCACCAAGGCGAUGACGGGUAGCCGGCCUGAGAGGGCGACCGGCCACACUGGGACUGAGACACGGCCCAGACUCCUACGGGAGGCAGCAGUGGGGAAUAUUGCACAAUGGGCGAAAGCCUGAUGCAGCGACGCCGCGUGAGGGAUGACGGCCUUCGGGUUGUAAACCUCUUUCAGCAGGGAAGAAGCGAAAGUGACGGUACCUGCAGAAGAAGCGCCGGCUAACUACGUG
rnacentral:rRNA from 1 species